rnacentral:rRNA from 1 species
UAGAGUUUGAUCAUGGCUCAGGACGAACGCUGGCGGCGUGCUUAACACAUGCAAGUCUACGAGAACGAGGUAGCAAUAUCUUUAGUAAAGUGGCGUACGGGUGCGUAACACGUAAGUAAUCUACCUUUUGGUUCGGAAUAACUUCGGGAAAUCGGAGCUAAUACCGGAUAAUGCAGCGGCACCGCAUGGUGAUGUUGUUAAAGUUUGUGUAAUGCCUAAAGAUGAACUUGCGUCUGAUUAGCUAGUUGGUGAGGUAAUGGCUCACCAAGGCUGCGAUCAGUAGCUGGUCUGAGAGGAUGAUCAGCCACACUGGAACUGAGACACGGUCCAGACUCCUACGGGAG